UGGUUCUAUUUUGUUGGUGUUCGGGACUGAAGUAAUGAUUGAUAGGGACAGUUGGGGCGGUCUGUAUUCCAAAGCGAGAGGUGAAAUUCUUAGACCUUCGGAAGACAAACAGCUGCGAAAGCGUUCCGCAAGGAUGUUCCCUUUGAUCAAGAACGAAAGUUGGGGGAUCGAAGACGAUCAGAUACCGUCGUAGUCUCAACUAUAAACUAUACCAGCUAGGGAUCGGCCAACGUUAUUUAAACCGACUUGGUCGGCACCUUAUGAGAAAUCAAAGCAUCUGGGUUCCGGGGGGAGUAUGGUCGCAAGGCUGAAACUUAAAGGAAUUGACGGAAGGGCACCACCAGCCGUGGAGCCUGUGGUUUAAUUUGACUCAACACGGGAAAACUUACCAGGUCCAGACAUAGUAAGGAUUGACAGAUUGAUAGCUCUUUCUUGAUUCUGUGGGUGGUGGUGCAUGGCCGUUCUUAGUUGGUGGAGUGAUUUGUCUGGUUAAUUCCGUUAACGAACGAGACCCCAGCCUGCUAAAUAGCGCGUGUGAGCUUUGCUCGCAGCGAGCUUCUUAGAGGGACUAUGAUGCGCGAUAGCACAUGGAAGUUUGGGGCAAUAACAGGUCUGUGAUGCCCUUAGAUGUUCUGGGCCGCACACGGGCUACACUGGCGCCUGCAACGAGCAUAUCAGCUGGCCCGAGAGGGUCUUGGCUAAUCUUUUGAACCGGCGCCGUGCUUGGGAUUGACCUUUGCAAUUGUUGGUCAUGCAACGAGGAAUGCCUUGUAAACGCGAGUCAUCAGCUCGCAUUGAAUACGUCCCUGCCCUUUGUACACACCGCCCGUCGCUCCUACCGAUGAAUGUUCCGAUGAAAUUUUCGGAGAGUGCCUGUGAACUUGGCUCUGCCUUGCGAACGGGAAGCUCAAAGUCACUUAAAUCUGAACAUUUCGA
rnacentral:rRNA from 1 species